UUUGCUUUAAUGUUACCUUACACAGAAUUAGCAUAAUUUUGCAGCUUGGAAAAUGAAGUUUUAAAUAUAAUACAAUACACUUCAAAAUUGGAUUGUGCUUACUCUGAUAUAUGCACAUUCUUGAAGAAUAUUGCAUAAUCUGCUAUCUAGCAUUAACAUUAUUUAAUAGCUUAAUUUAAAAAAAUUGUAAAUUUAAAUAUUCAGCUAAUUUUUCUUUUGGAAGCCGGUCACAUCACGUACAUAUAGUCGGAUUUCUCCAUAUGACUGUCAAUUCGCUCUCUUUUUUUUCUUUCCGCUGUUUGUAUUUUGUAUUGCACACUUGUCCCAUUCUUAUUAAGGCGGUAAGCUGUAAGAAAUGAUUGGGCUGAAAAGUUCCACUAUCGGUUGGUUUUCUUUUGCCAUAAUCAUUGUGUUUUCUUUUGUUGUUGCUCACAGGGUGACAAGUUUUCCAUAUAGACGAUAAACGAGUAAAAUAGGCUGUUUCUAUCUCGUCUCCUCGUUGUAUAGCUGCACUGUGGCUGAUAGACGAGACGGUUUUCUUUGGUGUUUUGUGGUGUGAAAAUCAUAGAAUAUGCUCAAAGAUAAGUAACGUUUAAAUACAAAUGGUUUUAUUUGUGUAAAUGGGAAAAUAAGAUUGCCCAGGAAGUAUUUGAAUGACUAUUACUAACUGGGCUGUUAAGGACCAUUGCAUACUGGGUUCAAAGUGUUGACGAUAUAUUAAAACUAAUAUAUACGGCAAAUAUACCUACACCAAAACCUUGAUGCAAUAUACAGCGUAUUUUUUUCGCAUAAAUUGCAAAAAUAAAUGGAAUAAACCUACAUUUAUAAAAGAGCAUAAAUAAAUUCUGUAAAUAAAAAUCCAAAAAAUAAAAAAAAUAUAGUGCUUAGAAGCUACUUGACGUCCCGAAAUUAAAUACCAUUGAGCGAAAUCAAUAAACCGACACAAGUGUGAAAAAUGCUAAACAACAAUUGCUAAUCAAUGCUUGCGACUGUAGGGGUCGUUUAUACGUCUGUGCGUAUGAAACGUUGUUAAAAGGAUAAACUAAAAAUCUUAUAAAAAAAAAUUGUUCGACUGGGUUAAAUCACAACUUAACCAACAUCAUAUACAUAACUUGAACGUAAGAAUUGCGAUAACGACAACAAUCACAACAAAGAGGUGGGUGUUUGCGCUGGUACGCAGUCGGUUUCAGUUUUUUCGUGCUUCACAAAAUAUUUAUGCAUAAACAACUCCAGCUGUUUGACAUAGUACACACGUGAUUGUUUACUGCUUUUUCAAACAAAAUUUUUUCUUUUAGUUAAAUUUUGUUACCCCUUUUCAUUUGACGAAUGCAGAGAUUUUUUUGAAACCGUGAAAAAGAACAAAAUUCGAUGAACGUGUUUCGUGAGAGCGUAAAUUACACAUUCUAGUUUCGUUGCAGAAAACUAAAAUAUCUGAAAUUUAUUUUCUAGUAAUUGUGAUUCAAUUUCGGUAUUUUCUGCCAAUUUAAAAAUCUUGCUAAAUCAUUCAAUAUUAAUAUUGUGUGUUCCUUAAAUAAAUGGAAGUUGUAAAUUCUGCUUGUUGAAAAUAAAUGCAUGCGAUUCACGGGAGUACAGGGUCACAAAUCUGUCAAACUACAGAUUGCUCAAUAGUAUUUUUUGUUAUCAACAAAUUAUUUUCUUUCAAUAAUAAUACAUGUGUGGAGCUUGUAUUUCGUUACAAUGAAAAAAUAUGAAGUAAGAAUAAUUGAAUUUUGAUAGAAAUAGCAAUACCAGUAACAACAGAAGCAGUCUGAAGAAAAAUCAAACAUUUUUGAAUACAAACUCAGCGGAUAAACGCUUUAAUAUUUUCCCACAAACGCACAGCAGCAACGCAAUUUGGUGUAACACAGCCCAGUAAUAAAAACAAUAGAGAGCGUAACGGACCUUACGCAGUUCGUUGUAGCGGGAAUAUCAGGAGAUACGCCAGGUAGUGACAGGCGUGAUGCAGUUGAAAAAUUUAUAUAAGUGCUUAUAUGUAUAUAUGAAAGCUUAAACGGAGACGGCACCGUUGUCUUCAAACUUGGCUAAAAUCAGAGUUUGCGUUCUAUAUAUAAAAUCCAACUCAUCGCACGCCACAAACAACACACUCUAAGCAAUUGACUUCAUUGAAACUUGAAUGUAAUCGACAGCCGUUAAACGAAAAUAGCGCGUAAAAAACAAAUAAAAAUAAAAGAACAGUGGGUGUACGAUAUUGCGAAAGGAUUCGUGUGCCCUGGAAUGGGAAUAAGUGCGUGCGCGUGCGUGGGACCCGCAAACAAAACGGACAAACGUUAUAAUUCAUAGUUGUUA